rnacentral:rRNA from 1 species
AUUGAACGCUGGCGGCAUGCCUUACACAUGCAAGUCGAACGGCAGCACGGGUGCUUGCCCCUGGUGGCGAGUGGCGAACGGGUGAGCAAUACAUCGGAACAUGUCCUGUAGUGGGGGAUAGCCCGGCGAAAGCCGGAUUAAUACCGCAUACGAUCUACGGAUGAAAGCGGGGGACCUUCGGGCCUCGCGCUAUAGGGUUGGCCGAUGGCUGAUUAGCUAGUUGGUGGGGUAAAGGCCUACCAAGGCGACGAUCAGUAGCUGGUCUGAGAGGGCGACCAGCCACACUGGAACUGAGACACGGCCCAGACUCCUACGGGAGGCAGCAGUGGGGAAUUUUGGACAAUGGGCGAAAGCCUGAUCCAGCAAUGCCGCGUGUGUGAAGAAGGCCUUCGGGUUGUAAAACACUUUUGUCCGGAAAGAAAACCUUGGCCCUAAUACGGUCGGGGGAUGACGGUACCGGAAGAAUAAGCACCGGCUAACUACGUG